GAUGAAGAACGCAGCGAAAUGCGAUACGUAAUGUGAAUUGCAGAAUUCAGUGAAUCAUCGAGUCUUUGAACGCACAUUGCGCCCCCUGGUAUUCCGGGGGGCAUGCCUGUCCGAGCGUCAUUGCUGCCCUCAAGCACGGCUUGUGUGUUGGGCCUCCGUCCUCCUCCCGGGGGACGGGCCCGAAAGGCAGCGGCGGCACCGCGUCCGGUCCUCGAGCGUAUGGGGCUUCGUCACCCGCUCUUGUAGGCCCGGCCGGCGCUUGCCGACACAUCAAUCUUUUUUCCAGGUUGAACUCGGAUCAGGUAGGAAUACCCGCUGAACUUAAGCAUAUCAAUAAGCGGAGGA
rnacentral:misc_RNA from 1 species